AUCCGGUUUUGUGGUUCAAGGAUGAUUUUGUACCUCCAUGACAAGUUGAGGGACCUUCGGUGUACUUUUUCCAUUACAGUUUGGGUUGAACAUGUUGGGCCUUGCCGCUUACGGCCCAAUUUUAUGUGUCCAAUCAUAACCCGAUUUCGUUGUCAAUCUGUGCCUUCACGGCUUCUCAGACUUCUCUCCUCUAUCGCUAGCCACAGAUCCGCUCCUGGCUCCUGCAAGGCUGCAACCUGCAACCCCAACACCCCUUCGAGAAUCGUCGUGCGCGCAGCAAACCUGUACAUGGGUAAACAAGCAUAACUGAAUUACAGGCAAGCCGGUAGCUUGGAAAGAACCCUCUUACUCCCAGUAAAAACAAUAGGAGGCCCACUACUGCUAUUUUCUUUAUUGUGCUUCUGAAUGCAAAGUAGCACAAGUAGGGAUAUUAGUUCCUCACACCAUGUAGCAGAAGGAAGAUGGAUGCUAACAGACGCCAAGGUGGAAUUCAGCAAUUAUUGGCUGCAGAGCAAGAAGCUCAACAGAUUGUUAAUGCUGCUAGGAGCGGCAAAAGAGGAGGCUGAGAGAGAAAUAGCUGAGUACCGUGCUCAGAUGGAAGCUGAGUUCCAGAGGAAGGUUGCGGAGAGUAGCGGUGAUUCUGGUGCAAACGUAAAACGGCUUGAGCAAGAAACUGACACGAAAAUUGCGCAACUGAAGGAGCAGGCUGCAAAUGUCUCCCCUGAAGUGAUCCAGAUGCUUCUUAGGCAUGUAACCACCGUGAAGAACUGAUAAAAGUUGGACGUCCUGCCGACAAAUUAAGCAGAGAUUGGGCUCAAAUUGUGUGCUACCUUUUUGUUAAUUCCAAGAUGGAUUACAAAUUUACGGAUGUCAGCUAUAGCCACGAACCCUGUUCUUAGUCAUACAAUACCAAUAAGCCGCAGCAGAUUUAUUGGUGAACACGAGGGAUGAUUAUACAAUAAGCAUUCUUGUUGAUGUGAUUUGGCGAGCCUUUGUUGAGCUGCUGGAGAGAAAGUGAAUGAUCCUGUGUGAAACUGACA